rnacentral:rRNA from 1 species
CCGCAAUGGGCUAACGCCUGACGGAGCAAUGCCGCGUGGAGGAGGAAGGCCUGUGGGUCGUAAACUCCUUUUCUCAGAGAAGAAGAUCUGACGGUAUCUGAGGAAUAAGCAUCGGCUAACUCUGUGCCAGCAGCCGCGGUAAUACAGGGGAUGCAAGCGUUAUCCGGAAUUAUUGGGCGUAAAGCGUCCUGAGGUGGCUUACCCAGUCGACUGUGAAAGCUCAAGGCUCAACCUUGAAACGGCAGUCGAAACUUGUAAGCUUGAGUACGGUAGAGGCAGAGGGAAUUCCCGGAGGAGAGGUGAAAUUCGUAGAUAUCGGGAGGAAGGCCAAAGGCGAAAGCACUCUGCUGGGCCGAUUACUGACACUGACAGACGAAAGCUAGGGGAGCGAAAGGGAUUAGAUAU